AAAUUUCAGAUUUAUUUCCUUUUCCCUCCUCCUCCCGCGCACAGCUGCCUCCCUUAUGCUCGAGGUCUUUUUUUUUUGAAAUCACGCAUUUUUCUUUUUCUUUUCGAUCUUCUUCCUCUCUUCCUUCUCCCUUGGCUUCCUUCUUUUCGUUCUUUUCUUUUCUUCCACCGAGAGACCGAGAGAGGGAGGCCGAGAGAGCUGGAGAGAACCUGAGAGAGACACGCGGUGGGCUAGCCACCGUUGGGGGUGGGCGACGGCAACGGCGCCGGAGGCCGGUGGGUCACGGCCCGACGCCGGUAAAGCCAACGGAUGUCUUUUUCCGGCGUUUUCUCGCCACCCAAACAUGGACAAAUUCAUUUUUCGGGAUAUCAUUCUUUGCAAGUGUAACGAGUAGCACAUACAUUGUGGAGCCAAGGACGCAAAGUAUUGGCCUUGACACUACAAAGCCGAAUCAGUGAGCUGCAAAAAUUGGAGGGGGAAUAUUAUUGGAUCAUGGGACAGGUGUGGUUAUUGGUGAAACUGCAGUUGUAGGAAACAGAGUUUCAUUGAUGCAUUUGAAUCUAUUAAUUAGAAUGACUGAACAUCAAUGGCAAUGUCAGAGGUCGUUUGAGGUGGCACCUGAAUAUAUAAUCAUAUUGAAAAUUAGGAUCAACAUUUGUCCAAGUGCUAGCACCAAUCAACCUUAACACAGACAAAGAUAACAUUGAAUACAAUAGAAUGGAUAGGAAGAGGACACUCCUCCAUCCACACCACAUCAGAAGGCAAAGUAAGUGCCAACUUGGCUAAAGUGUGUGCUGCAGAAUUUGCACCUCUACUCACAUGUUGAAUAACAAAAUUGGGAGAAGAAGAGAGCCUUGUCCGGAUAUCAUCCACCACCUGACCGUACCUGUUGAAGCAAGGAUUUUCCUGGUUUAUAGGUGCUACAGUAGCCAGCGAAUCCCCUUCCAGAACCAUUUGCAGAUAGCCCAUCUCUCUUCCCAAUUCCAUUGCCCUCCAAGCCGCUAGGAUCUCAUCUAACAAAGGGUCCGUUACGAAAGGGAUUGGGGCCGGGCUGCCAAAACCACUAGAAACUCACCCUUCUCAUUUCGGCCCAUCCACCCCGACACGUACCCACAAGCUUAGUAGAGGAGCAAAUCGCUGCAUCCCAAUUCAGUUCUACCCAUCCCGGUGAAGGUUUCAACCACCUUGGCUCACUGGGCACGCGGCUGGAUAACUCCCCCUCCAUAGAGUUUGCCUCAAAAAACGAGUAGAGAUCUUCUUAUGCUUGACGAGCCACCUGCAUGGGAGAAUUAAAGGAGUUCCCAAACACAAAACCAUUUCGACGUAGCCAAAUGAGUCUGGCUAAAGAAUGCGCCAAAAUGAGUGUAUUUGGUCAAUACUUUAACAGUACAUAUGCUAUAAUUAAUUUUCUUUUCCA